rnacentral:rRNA from 1 species
AGCGAACGCUGGCUGCAUGCCUAACACAUGCAAGUCGCACGGGGGGGCUUCGGCCUCCCAGUGGCGGACGGGUGAGGAACGCGUAGGGACCUGUCGAGGGGUGGGGGAUAACCGCGGGAAACUGCGGCUAAUACCGCAUGACGCCGCGGCGUGACAGCCGGGGCCAAAGGCGAAAGCCGCCCGCCGAGGGGCCUGCGUCCGAUUAGCUGGUUGGCGGGGUAGCGGCCCACCAAGGCGUCGAUCGGUAGCUGGUCUGAGAGGGUGAUCAGCCACACCGGGACUGAGACACGGCCCGGACUCCUACGGGAGGCAGCAGUGGGGAAUAUUGGACAAUGGGCGCAAGCCUGAUCCAGCAAUGCCGCGUGGGUGAAGAAGGUCUUCGGAUUGUAAAGCCCUUUCGGCGGGGACGAUGGUGACGGUACCCGCAGAAGAAGCCCCGGCUAACUUCGUG